rnacentral:misc_RNA from 1 species
AAUAUUAUUUGGUAAAUGAAGAAAUCACAGAAACAGCUGAACCAACAGUCAGAACACCUCAGCUUCGUCGUCACCAUGUGAGGAAGAAGAGAGACCCAAGGAGAUUAAAGUCAAUGUACUCUCCUACAAACAUUUCUUCGAAAUUGCUGAGAAAACGCGUCUUGGUUUUUUUUUCUUUUCUUCCUUUUAUACGCAACUUUGCAAAGUCUUCACCUACCACAUGCUUUGCCUACCACUUGCUUUUAUGGAUGCGAAUCUGAGUUAAUUGGUGAAUAUAUAGAUCAGAGGGAAAGGAAGAAAGCACAGUUGCAGCUGAACCAACAAUCAGAACACCUCAGCGUCGUCCUCGCCACUUUCUUGCUGAAUUAAUUAAUUGGUGAAUAU